rnacentral:lncRNA from 1 species
AGGGUCCUAGAACUGCGGUCCUGAAACUGCAGCCAUUGCUAUAUCAUCCAGUACGGUAGGUGGCGCUGUCACGAAAAACUAGGGUCCUAGAACUACGGUCCUAGAUCUGCGGUCCUGAAACUGCAGCCUCCGGUUGUGCAGGAACAUACUAUUGCACUAAUCUGGAACAGAAUGAAGGUCUAGUCUGAGUUGGGUGGAUGUAGCUUGAACAGUUUAGGAGGAGUAGCAAUUCGAAAUUUUAGUCUCAGAAAGUUAAUAAUAAUAAUAAUCGUAACUACAAUUGCAGUAAGUUGGCUUUUUCAAGACAAAUUAAUUAUAAGAAUUCUGGUGACAUUUCUAUCUUUUUUUUUUUUUUUUUUACUGCAAAUAGCAUUGAAAUAUUGAUGGGCUGCCACAAUAGACUGGUACAACCAAGACUGGCUUCCAAUCAGUCACUAAGUGGUCGCAUUCUAAAAAGGAUCUUCACUCAAAGAACCAUUUACAUUCGUCCAGAAAGACAACUUCUUGAAAUAGACCAUACAGUAAGUAAUUAUUUUAAUACAGUAAGUAUUAUUUUUACGAAUUCUGAGUGUACUCAUGGUGUAAAAAAGGAAUAAAUUUUAUAUCAUGCAUGCCUGUCUUACAUGUGAUUAGCAUUUUCUUGUAAUAUCAAAAACAUUGCUUUUCCUGAUACAUUUUAGACCGAUGUUUCCGAAGAAGAACUAGAUAGCCCCGUUGAAGAUUCACAAAUGUCAUCUUCAAGGGUGCAAAAUGUGGGGUCAUGGUGUGCAACAGCAGAGAUUCAGCCCGUGUCUUCACAAGCAACACGCACUCGUCCUGUGUAUGAUUCAACAGCAGAGAUUCAGCCCGUGUCUUCACAAGCAAGAUUUACUGGAGAGUCAUCUGUAGCUAUGUUGGAUACUGUUGUUGGAGCAAGUGACAGUGAAUACAGAGUUGAAGAACUGACUUUGAUGGAUAUCUUGUUACCACUUGGGAAUGCGAUUUCAAGUGACUUGAUCAGAUUUAACAUCACAAGGAAGAGUGUGUGGGAAGGAACUGAACGGGCCAUGAGACGUCCAAAUUUCCUACCUUCAAAGAUGAUUUGUCAUUAA